GCCACGCAUGAUCGGGGUUGUACCGGCCUCCGGAGGCCGGAGCGUAGGUUCAAGUCCUGCCGGGGGCACCA
rnacentral:tRNA from 1 species